AUGUUCAGCAAGGGAUUUACAGGUGUGCCAGCUACUGUCAACCAAACCACGGUGCUCUGGGAUUCAAACAGCACUAAGGAGUCAACCUGCUGUGUGCCACAGUAUCUGCAGCUGCCUCAGGGUACUUUGGUGGGAGCCCUUCAAAUCUUUAUGCUCAGAACAGCACCUGUAUCAUAAGGACUUCAUAAAAUCCCAUUUAAAUUGCUCCAUUCUGUACUACAGCCUUGAAGGUCGUGCCGCUGC
rnacentral:lncRNA from 1 species